UCUUGAUUAUAAUAGGGUUAAAACAGGGCUGAGUUAAAAUAGGACUGUAGUUAUAAUAAACAAAAGAGGGUCGGCCCCUGACCAUGUAGUUAACAUCCCUAAAAAGACGAAUCGAAACCCAUCUCUCUCCUUCACCACCAUCUCCUCCACCUAUUCGCGUCUCCACGAGCUCCUCCACCCCCAAAGCUCGAUUCAUCUCCCGUCAGAAACAAUCCGUCUCCGUUCGCCAGCUCCAGCGACCUCUAAUGGAGUAUAUGAGCUUACCUGCAAGUCAGUACUCGGUGCUAGACGCGGAGAGGAUCGAGAGAGUUGAUGAUAACACGUUUACACUUUUAAAUUCUUCGACUUUGAAGUGUGUCCUGUUCUGCUCGUUAGGGUCGAAGAGCAAACUAAUGGCUGCUGCAUCAAGCUCUUGUCUUGCAAGACUAUCAAGCAUGGGCUUCGGGAGACACUUCAAGUCAACCUCUUGGGACUGGCGAGAUAUGAUAGUGAAUCAAAAUGGACCUUACCUGGCUCCGAGAAGUCUCCCAUCUUUUUCAAAUGUGUUCUUGUAAAAUGACCACAGAUGAGUUUGUUCCUUUGUUUCGGAAUGUCAAUUGGUCCAAGCCAAAGCCCAUAAUAUGCAAAACCCAUAAAUAUUUAAGUCUGACCCGACCUUAAAAUGUGCCGCAUUUUACUUAGCCCAAAGUAUAUGUUUAGCUGAUUCAAGGGGGGAAAGAUCAGCUAAACCAUCUGGUUAAACCGGUUUAACGAAUAGCCUCACUCAUAUAUUUAAUUGCUAAAAGUGUACGUUAAAUCUUGUAUAUAGGUUGAACUAGACCAGAUUAAUUGUAAUAUUAUAUUA